GAUGAAGAACGUAGCGAAAUGCGAUAAGUAAUGCGAAUUGCAGAAUUCAGUGAAUCAUCGAAUCUUUGAACGCACAUUGCGCCCGCUAGUAUUCUGGCGGGCAUGCCUGUCUGAGCGUCAUUUCAACCCUCGCCCCCGGCCUUUGCUGGGAGCGGUGUUGGGGAUCGGCCGCCCGUCACUGGGAGGCCGGCCCCGAAAUAGAGUGGCGACCACGCCGUGUGCUCCUCUGCGUAGUAGUAAAUCACCUCGCAGGCGGACAGCGGUGCGGCCUGCCGUAAAACCCCCAACUCUUUCUGGUUGACCUCAGAUCAGGUAGGAAUACCCGCUGAACUUAAGCAUAUCAAUAAGCGGAGGA
rnacentral:misc_RNA from 1 species